GACGUAGGGCGCGAGCGUUGUCCGGAUUUAUUGGGCGUAAAGAGCUCGUAGGCGGUGUGUCGCGUCGGCCGUGAAAACCUGCAGCUCAACUGUGGGCUUGCGGUCGAUACGGGCAUCACUGGAGUUCGGCAGGGGAGACUGGAAUUCCUGGUGUAGCGGUGAAAUGCGCAGAUAUCAGGAGGAACACCGGUGGCGAAGGCGGGUCUCUGGGCCGAUACUGACGCUGAGGAGCGAAAGCGUGGGGAGCGAACAGG
rnacentral:rRNA from 1 species